CAACCUUCAAGCUCUGCUUGGUAUUGAGUGUCACCAUUCAUGGUGCACCUGAAAUGCAGUGGCGGUGCCAUCGGCCUCCAGCGUAAGUCAUAUUUCUCGCUGUGGCGGCUUCGGUACGUGCUUGCCAGCAAGCCCUAAUUUAUUCAAA
rnacentral:misc_RNA from 1 species